rnacentral:rRNA from 1 species
AUUGAACGCUGGCGGCAGGCCUAACACAUGCAAGUCGAGCGAGCGGCGGACGGGUGAGUAAUGUAUGGGAAACUGCCUGAUGGAGGGGGAUAACUACUGGAAACGGUAGCUAAUACCGCAUACCAUCAGAUGAACCCAUAUGGGAUUAGCUUGUAGGUAGGGUAACGGCUCACCUAGGCGACGAUCCCUAGCUGGUCUGAGAGGAUGACCGGCCACACGGGGACUGAGAAACGGCCCAGACUCCUACGGGAGGCAGCAGUGGGGAAUAUUGCACAAGGGGCGCAAGCCUGAUGCAGCCAUGCCGCGUGUAUGAAGAAGGCCUUCGGGUUGUAAAGUACUUUCAGCGGGGAGGCGUUACCCGCAGAAGAAGCACCGGCUAACUCCGUGCCAGCAGCCGCGGUAAUUC